CUUCCCGAUCUUAUCUCUUUUCUCUCUCGAAACCUUUGAUAUUUCCGGCUUAAACUCGAUAUUUUGGGAGCUUCCAUUGGUUCGAUUAUCCGAUUCAACACUUUUGUGUUCGUUUCUAGGUAAUUUGUUCCAUUCUCUUUUCCCCUAAAUUUGAGUUUAUGGGUCACUUUUUAGUUUGAGCUUGAAUUGUGUGUCUGUGUGGUCGUAUUGAUACUUUUUAUACUUGAUUUGAAUCGAUGUAGCUGCUGCAGUUUGAUUUGAUUUCUUUGAAUUGUAUUGUAUUUGAGUAUGUACUAUGCAUCAUUCGUGUCCAAGGAAGAGAUUCCAGCUGACCAGUAUGCGUUGCGUUUAAGAGGUUGAUCCCAAUACAGGAUAAUGAACAAGUAUGAAUCAUAUGGAAUCAUCCAAUAUCUAUAUAUCUGAGAAAUAUGGUGGGUUUUCCCUUUUGCCUGAUUCUCCUUCUGUUUCCCGAUUCCCUUUGUUGUUAUCGACAAUAGCAUCAUCUUUCCAUUGGCUAGUCAUCUAUAAAUGAACCGUUUAAUCCAAACA